AAGACGUUUUGUGGUGAAAACAAGACAUUUUGAGGCACCUCGCAGAAUUGCUUUUUUUCCACGAUAAUGAGCAAGAAUGGGGUCCUGGAGCCCUCUGGUGGAUGUCCUGCAGAAGACAGGCAGCGGAAAGCGGAUACGCAUGGCAAUGCUGAAGAUGGAAUUCAGAGCACUCAAAUGCCAAGAGACAGUGCUGUAUAGGGCUUGUGCUGUGUUUCCUACCUAGGAGAGAAUGUGGCCCACAGUCUGUGUCUUAGUUCUGUCUUGUCUCCUGUUUCAAGACAGGCAUCUGUAGCCCUCACUGCCAGUAUAAAAGAGCUUCCUUGGCGUCCUAUUGGCAAGCUUU